AUUGAACGCUGGCGGCAGGCCUAACACAUGCAAGUCGAACGAGUGGCGGACGGGUGAGUAAUGUCUGGGAAACUGCCUGAUGGAGGGGGAUAACUACUGGAAACGGUAACUAAUACCGCAUCCCAACGGAUGUACCCAGUAUGGAGUGGCUUGUUGGUGGGGUAACGGCUCACCAAGGCGACGAUCCCUAGCUGGUCUGAGAGUAUGACCAGCCACACGUGAUCGGAGACACGGUCCAACCUCCGACGUGAGGCAGCAGUGGGGAAUAUUGCACAAGUGGCGGAAGCCUGAUGCAGCCAUGGCGCGGAUAUGAAGAAGGCCUUCGGGUUGUAAAGGACUUUCAGCGGGGAGGCGUUACCCGCAGAAGAAGCACCGGCUAACUCCGUGCCAGCAGCCGCGGUAAUAC
rnacentral:rRNA from 1 species